rnacentral:rRNA from 1 species
AUUGAACGCUGGCGGCAUGCUUUACACAUGCAAGUCGAACGGCAGCACGGGCUUCGGCCUGGUGGCGAGUGGCGAACGGGUGAGUAAUAUAUCGGAACGUGCCCAAGAGUGGGGGAUAACGUAGCGAAAGUUACGCUAAUACCGCAUACGAUCUAUGGAUGAAAGCAGGGGACCGCAAGGCCUUGUGCUCCUGGAGCGGCCGAUAUCUGAUUAGCUAGUUGGUGAGGUAAAGGCUCACCAAGGCGACGAUCAGUAGCUGGUCUGAGAGGACGACCAGCCACACUGGAACUGAGACACGGUCCAGACUCCUACGGGAGGCAGCAGUGGGGAAUUUUGGACAAUGGGGGCAACCCUGAUCCAGCAAUGCCGCGUGAGUGAAGAAGGCCUUCGGGUUGUAAAGCUCUUUUGUCAGGGAAGAAAAGGGUACGGCUAAUAUCCGUGCCUCAUGACGGUACCUGAAGAAUAAGCACCGGCUAACUACGUGCCAGCAGCCGCGGUAAUACGUAGGGUGCAAGCGUUAAUCGGAAUUACUGGGCGUAAAGCGUGCGCAGGCGGUUUUGUAAGUCUGUCGUGAAAUCCCCGGGCUUAACCUGGGAAUGGCGAUGGAGACUGCAAGGCUGGAGUUUGGCAGAGGGGGGUAGAAUUCCACGUGUAGCAGUGAAAUGCGUAGAGAUGUGGAGGAACACCGAUGGCGAAGGCAGCCCCCUGGGUCAAGACUGACGCUCAUGCACGAAAGCGUGGGGAGCAAACAGGAUUAGAUACCCUGGUAGUCCACGCCCUAAACGAUGUCUACUAGUUGUUGGGUCUUAAUUGACUUAGUAACGCAGCUAACGCGUGAAGUAGACCGCCUGGGGAGUACGGUCGCAAGAUUAAAACUCAAGGGAAUUGACGGGGACCCGCACAAGCGGUGGAUGAUGUGGAUUAAUUCGAUGCAACGCGAAAAACCUUACCUACCCUUGACAUGUCAGGAAUCUCGGAGAGAUCUGAGAGUGCCCGAAAGGGAACCUGAACACAGGUGCUGCAUGGCUGUCGUCAGCUCGUGUCGUGAGAUGUUGGGUUAAGUCCCGCAACGAGCGCAACCCUUGUCAUUAGUUGCUACGAAAGAGCACUCUAAUGAGACUGCCGGUGACAAACCGGAGGAAGGUGGGGAUGACGUCAAGUCCUCAUGGCCCUUAUGGGUAGGGCUUCACACGUCAUACAAUGGUACAUACAGAGGGCCGCCAACCCGCGAGGGGGAGCUAAUCCCAGAAAGUGUAUCGUAGUCCGGAUUGUAGUCUGCAACUCGACUGCAUGAAGUUGGAAUCGCUAGUAAUCGCGGAUCAGCAUGUCGCGGUGAAUACGUUCCCGGGUCU